rnacentral:rRNA from 1 species
AUUGAACGCUGGCGGCAGGCCUAACACAUGCAAGUCGAGCGGAGCGGCGGACGGGUGAGUAAUGCCUGGGAAUCUGCCUGGUAGUGGGGGAUAACGUCCGGAAACGGGCGCUAAUACCGCAUACUAUCAGAUGAGCCUAGGUCGGAUUAGCUAGUUGGUGGGGUAAAGGCCUACCAGGGCGACGAUCCGUAACUGGUCUGAGAGGAGGAUCAGUCACACUGGAAAUGAGAAACGGUCCAGACUCCUACGUGAGGCAUCAUGGGGGAAUAUUGGACAAUGGGCGAAAGCCUGAUCCAACCAGUCCGCGUGUGUGAAGGAGGUCUUCGGAUUUUAAAGCACUUUAAGUUGGGAGGCGUUACCAACAGAAUAAGCACCGGCUAACUUCGUGCCAGCAGCCGCGGUAAUUC